ACCAUACCAUGCUGAAUAUACCGGUUCUCGUUAGAUCACCGAAGUCAAGCAUCAUUGGGCGCGGUCAGUAUUUGGGUGGGUGACCACCUGGGAACACCGCGUGCCGUU
rnacentral:rRNA from 1 species